ACGCACGCUGGCGGCGUGCUUCACCCCUGCCAGUCGAACGGAAAGGCCCUGCUUUUGUGGGGUGCUCGAGUGGCGAACGGGUGAGUAACACGUGAGUAACCUGCCCUUGACUUUGGGAUAACUUCAGGAAACUGGGGCUAAUACCGGAUAGGAGCUCCUGCUGCAUGGUGGGGGUUGGAAAGUUUCGGCGGUUGGGGAUGGACUCGCGGCUUAUCAGCUUGUUGGUGGGGUAGUGGCUUACCAAGGCUUUGACGGGUAGCCGGCCUGAGAGGGUGACCGGCCACAUUGGGACUGAGAUACGGCCCAGACUCCUACGGGAGGCAGCAGUGGUGAAUAUUGCACAAUGGGCGGAAGCCUGAUGCAGCAACGCCGCGUGCGGGAUGACGGCCUUCGGGUUGUAAACCGCUUUCGCCUGUGACGAAGCGUGAGUGACGGUAAUGGGUAAAGAAGCACCGGCUAACUACGUG
rnacentral:rRNA from 1 species